AUGGCAGACGGCGGCGUCGGCCUGGGGGUGGAGCUCGUGCCCGACGUCCUGGUAGAGGGAACCGCCGUAGGCGACGUUGAGCACCUGCGAGCCGUGGCAGAUGCUGAGGAACGGGACGUUUCGCUCCAUGCAGCGGCGCACGAGGAGGAGCUCGAUGGAGUCCUUCUCGUGGUCCACGGCGGCGUCGCUUGGGUGAAGGCGCCGCACGGCCUCGAGCUGCUCUGGCGAGAGCACGUCGCAUCCAUCAUCGUCGUCGCCGCGGGCGUCAUAGAGGGAGGGAUCGAUGUCCUCGCCCUCGCAGAGGAGCACGCCGUGGAUGGGCUCGUAGGAAUCGAGCAUGGCGUGCACUACUCAGUGUUCUCGAUGGCGUGGAGAACUCAUCACCGGCGGCGACGUGUUGGUGUUCAUGAGGUGUUUGUUGAAAUGCCAAAUACAGAGAGAGGGGAGGAGGAAGAAGAAGAUUGGUGCGGACAUGCGGGCCCCACUUGUAAUAAUGAUCAAAAUCGAGUUUAA
rnacentral:rRNA from 1 species